rnacentral:lncRNA from 1 species
GAGGGACUCUGGGACCACCAUUCCCUGGGGACACUGGGAUGGGGGUGGAUGGACAGAUGGACACUGUCCCUGUGGGAUGGGAUGGAUGGACAUUGUCCCCGUGGGAUGGACACUGUCCCUGUGGAUGGAUGGAUGGACGUUUCCCUGUGGGGUGGACACUGUUCCUAAGGGAUGGAUGGACAGACACUGUCCCAGUGGGAUGGACACUGUUCCUAAGGGAUGGACACUGUCCCUGUGGGAUGGAUGGACACUGUUCCUAAGGGAUGGACACUGUCUCUGUGGGAUGGAUGGACACUGGGAUGGAUGGACACUGUCCCUGUGGGAUGGGAUGGAUGGAUGGACACUGUCCCUGUGGGAUGGAUGGACACUGUUCCUAAGGGAUGGAUGGACACUGGGAUGGAUGGACACUGUCCCUGUGGGAUGGAUGGACACUGUUCCUAAGGGAUGGACACUGUCUCUGUGGGACGGACACUGUCCUAUGGGAUGGACACUGUUCCUAAGGGAUGGACACUGUCCCUGUGGGAUGGAUGGAUGGAUGGACAUUGGGAUGGAUGGACACUGGGAUGGAUGGACACUGUUCCUAAGGGAUGGAUGGACACUGGGAUGGAUGGACACUGUCCCUGUGGGAUGGGAUGGAUGGACAUUGUCCCUGUGGGAUGGACACUGUCCCUGUGGGAUUGAUGGAUGGAUGGACACUGGGAUGGAUGGACACUGUCCCUGUGGGAUGGAGGGACACUGUCCUAUGGGGUGGACACUGUUCCUAAGGGAUGGACACUGUCCCAGUGGGAUGGACACUGUCCCCGUGGGACAGCCCCCUGCUCGGUGUCCCUGGGAGGUGCCAGCCCCCUCCGUGGGGAGGUGCCAGCUCACUCCCUGCCCUCUCCCUGCCCUCUCCCUGCCCUCUCCGUGCCCGCAGUGCCCCCCGGGAAGCCGCUGGCCCACGUGCCCAGCUCGGCCACGGUGGGCUCGCGGGUGGUCCUGCGCUGCUCCGAGGCCCAGGGCUCCCCCCCGCCCACCUUCCGCUGGUACAAGGACGGCUCCGAGCUGCCCCAGGACCCCAAAGCCAG